rnacentral:rRNA from 1 species
AUUCAGUGAAUCAUCGAAUCUUUGAACGCACAUUGCGCCCCUUGGUAUUCCGAGGGGCAUGCCUGUUCGAGCGUCAUUA